rnacentral:rRNA from 1 species
CACGUAGGGACCAAGCGUUGUCCGGAUUCAUUGGGCGUAAAGAGCUCGUAGGCGGUUCGAUAAGUCGGGUGUGAAACCUCCAGGCUCAACCUGGAGACGCCACCCGAUACUGUCGUGACUAGAGUCCAGUAGGGGAGCGUGGAAUUCCUGGUGUAGCGGUGAAAUUCGUAGAUAUUCGGAGGAACACCAGUGGCGAAGGCGGCUCACUGGUCCGGUACUGACGCUGAGGUGCGAAAGCGUGGGGAGCAAACAGG